rnacentral:rRNA from 1 species
AUUGAACGCUGGCGGAAUGCUUUACACAUGCAAGUCGAGCGGCAGCGCGGGGCAACCUGGCGGCGAGCGGCGAACGGGUGAGUAAUGCAUCGGAACAUGUCCAUGUCGUGGGGGAUAGCCCGGCGAAAGCCGGAUUAAUACCGCAUACGCCCGAGAGGGGAAAGUGGGGACCGCAAGGCCUCACGCGAUUGGGUUGGCCGAUGUCCGAUUAGCUAGUUGGCGGGGUAAGAGCCCACCAAGGCGAUGAUCGGUAGCUGGUCUGAGAGGAUGAUCAGCCACACUGGGACUGAGACACGGCCCAGACUCCUACGGGAGGCAGCAGUGGGGAAUUUUGGACAAUGGGGGCAACCCUGAUCCAGCCAUUCCGCGUGAGUGAAGAAGGCCU